rnacentral:rRNA from 1 species
UACCAGCCCCCUGAGUGAUAGGGACGAUUAUUUAGCCUAAAGCGUCCGUAGCCGGCUUAGUAAGUCUCUCGUUAAAUCUGGCGACUUAAUCGUCCAGGCCGCGGGAGAUACUGUUAGGCUAGAGGGCGGGAGAGGUUGACGGUAGUCCCGGAGUAGGGGUGAAAUCCUAUAAUCCCGGGAGGACCACCAGUGGCGAAGGCGGUCAACUAGAACGCGCCUGACGGUGAUGGACGAAAGCUGGGGUAGCGAACCGGAUUAGACACCCGGGUAGUCCCAGCCGUAAACGAUGCGGGCUAGGUGUUGGUGCAACUACGAGCUGCUCCAGUGCCGCAGAGAAGUCGUUAAGCCCGCCGCUUGGGAAGUACGGCCGCAAGGCUGAAACUUAAAGGAAUCGGCGGGGGAGCACCACAAGGGGUGAAGCCUGCGGUUC